GUGUGGAAAAGAGUCUUCCAAGUCUCCAACCAUGCUAAGAAUAGCUGAUGUCUGGUGAAAGCGGAACAAGGCUGGGGAGUAGUCGGCACUGUUAGGUUAGAUGGAGGAAAUCCUGCAGCCCCUGUUAUGCCAUGUUCAAAUUUCCAAAUGUCCAGACCUACAUUGCUGUUAAUAGGGUAAUCGUCUGUCUCCUGAACUGUGUCAGCUGUGUGACAUCCUGCUUACCAAUCCUCCACACAGAGAACUGCUGCCUGGUGUAGAUUCGGUCAAUGUUUCUGUAGCCACAGGCAUCCUGUUGCACUCUCUGCUGUCCACAUGCACAGGAAACUGAUGAUGAUGGCAACUGAUUACUUCAUCAAUUAACAGUCUAAAGAGACUGGAGAGGCCCAUUGAUCAGAUAAAGAGAGGCUGGAGAUCCAUUCUGGCCCAGACCUGUGCUGUACUGGGUCUCCAUCAACUCCAUCAAAGC